rnacentral:piRNA from 1 species
UCAAACAGGGCAAGGAAUGUAGCUAAAAGA